rnacentral:rRNA from 1 species
ACGUAGAGUUUGAUCCUGGCUCAGGAUGAACGCUAGCGGCAGGCCUAACACAUGCAAGUCGAGGGGUAACAGGAAGAGCUUGCUUUUCGCUGACGACCGGCGCACGGGUGCGUAACGCGUAUGCAACCUACCUCUUACUGGAGGAUAGCCCGGAGAAAUUCGGAUUAAGACUCCAUAGUAAUACACUUUCGCAUGUUAGUGUAUUUAAAGGUUACGGUAAGAGAUGGGCAUGCGUCCCAUUAGCUAGAUGGUAAGGUAACGGCUUACCAUGGCAACGAUGGGUAGGGGGCCUGAGAGGGUGAUCCCCCACACUGGUACUGAGACACGGACCAGACUCCUACGGGAGGCAGCA